rnacentral:rRNA from 1 species
AUUGAACGCUGGCGGCAUGCUUUACACAUGCAAGUCGAACGGCAGCGCGGGCUUCGGCUUGGCGGCGAGUGGCGAACGGGUGAGUAAUACAUCGGAACGUGCCCAGUAGUGGGGGAUAGCCCGGCGAAAGACGGAUUAAUACCGCAUCCGAUCUGAGGGUGAAAGCGGGGGAUCUUCGGACCUCGCGCUAUUGGAGCGGCCGAUGGCAGAUUAGCCAGUGGGUGGGGUAAAGGCCUACCAAGGCGACGAUCUGUAGCUGGUCUGAGAGGACGACCAGCCACACUGGGACUGAGACACGGCCCAGACUCCUACGGGAGGCAGCAGUGGGGAAUGUUGGACAAUGGGCGAAAGCCUGAUCCAGCAAUGCCGCGUGUGUGAUGAAGGCCUUCGGGUUGUAAAGCACUUUUGGCGGGAACGAAAAGGACUGUGCCAAUACCACGGUUCGAUGACGGUACCCGCAGAAUAAGCACCGGCUAACUACGUG